GAUCCUGGCUCAGGACGAACGCUGGCGGCGUGCCUAACACAUGCAAGUCGAACGGGGUCGGCCCCGCAAGGGACUGACUUAGUGGCGAACGGGUGAGUAACGCGUGAGCAACCUGCCUUUCAGUGGGGGACAACAGUUGGAAACGACUGCUAAUACCGCAUAAAGCAUUUUGACCGCAUGAUCGAGAUGCCAAAGAUUUAUUGCUGAAAGAUGGGCUCGCGUCUGAUUAGAUAGUUGGUG
rnacentral:rRNA from 1 species